UAUUAAUUCAAUUCAAGACAAUGCCCGGACUUCGAUUACGAUUACUAAAACAAAUAAAAUUGUUUUGGAAGAUCCAAAGCAACUGUCAUUUAGCAACGGAAAAGAUACAAGCCGACCAAAUUUUAUUAGAUAUAAUUUUUUGUAAUCCAACUUUAAGUAGAAUAUUAAUUCAAAACAAGGCCUUGAAUUCGAUUUCUACUACUAAAACAAAUACAUUUUUUAGAUCCAAACCAACUGUCUAUUAGAAACGGAAAAGAUACAAGCCCUCAGAAGGAGCCAGGCUAAAUAUCGGACUAUAAAUAUAUCUAUUUUUAGUUUUUCAACUUGAUUUGCUAUAAGCCGAAGUCAACAUUUUUGUAAGCAGUUAUUCGGAAACGAUGGGCCCGUUUUUAUAAUUUGUAAACGGUCUUUAGAGGGAACGUAUUUGACAAAUUUAUGGAGAAAUCUUCAAGAGUGAUUUGUUGAUAUCUACACUUCUGAACUGAACCAGCACAGCAGUAAACCGACUGAGAAGAAAAAUGCCAUCAUCAAAAAUCGGCUUAAAAAUAAGAUGCUUUCCCUCAAAAUCGACUUCGAUUGGGUAUUUAAAACAUUUUGACAGAGUUUUCUAAUGAUA